UCUACGUCGGUUACGCACGACCAGAAGAUCGGUGAUGACUUUCAAACCAGAAGAGAAAAGGAGUGACUGUAGUUCGACAAACAAAUGUAGCUGAGGCAUAUUGAUAGUCUCUUUCUUCAUUGUCCUCUAAACUGUGCUUCACUUGAUCCGCUUUCUACAUCUCUCGAUCUCUUGGCCAACUGGUUCAAAUAAUUGUCUGCCUUUUCUCCCCAACAACCAAAAUGUUCAAAAAUCAAUGGAAUGAAGCUGCAAAUCUGUCCUCUCUCGAUGCUCUUACCACUGUGUCGUGUACUAAAUGGGUGUGCCAAAAAGAAAUCGAGUUCGACAUUGGCACCUAUUCCUGAAUCAUAUACUAUUAUGUCUGGUCUGUCUUUAUUGUCUAUAUAUUGAUUUUUAGGUUCUUUUUUGUGAUGCACUUGCAAGUCCCUGAAACACUGCCACCACUCUGCCACCAUAUUAUUGUGUUCCCACACAGGCCUCCACCA